UACGAAGGGUGCAAGCGUUACUCGGAAUUACUGGGCGUAAAGCGUGCGUAGGUGGUUUGUUAAGUCUGUUGUGAAAGCCCCGGGCUCAACCUGGGAAUGGCAAUGGAUACUGGCAAGCUAGAGUGCGGUAGAGGGUAGUGGAAUUCCCGGUGUAGCGGUGAAAUGCGUAGAGAUCGGGAGGAACACCAGUGGCGAAGGCGGCUUGCUGGGCCUUUUCUGACGCUGAGGCACGAAAGCGUGGGGAGCGAACAGG
rnacentral:rRNA from 1 species